GGAGGUUGCAGUAAACUGAGAUAGUACCACCACACUACAGCCUGGGCCACAGAGUGAGACUCCAUCUCCAUGAAAAGAAAAAAAAAAAAAAAAAGAAUGGGCCUGCUUAGCUCCUAGUUCACCCUGUUUUUUCAGCCAAUCCCUCCAGACCUCAGGGGGUGGCAGCAGCAUUUGUACUCUAGGCUCAUCUUCUCCCUCAGGUCUUACAGUCAAUUAUAUUACUAAUCAGGAAAAGAUAUUGAGGCUGCCUACUCAGCUGCCAUUUCCCUCUUUUUUACUAUUAUUUUUUUUAAUAGAGACGGGGUCUCACUAUGUUGCCCAGGCUGGUCUUGAACUCCUGGGCUCAAGCAAUCCUCCUGCCUCAAGAUUUACAAAUGUGAGCCACCACACCAUGCCAGUCCUCCCUCUUUUUCCCUUAGUUUUUGUUUUUGUUUUGAGACGGAGUCUCACUCUGUCGCCAGGUGUCAGUGCAGUGGCACAAUCUCAGCUCACUGCAACCUCCACCUCCUAGGUUCAAGCAAUUCUCCUGCCUAAGCCUCCCGAGCAGCUGGGAUUAUAGACGCCAGUCACCAUGCCCACCUAAUUUUUGUAUUUUUAGUAGAGAUGGGGUUUCACCAUGUUGGCCAGGCUGGUCUCCAACUCCUGGCCUCAAGCAAUCCACCUGCCUCAGCCUCACAAAGUGUACUAGGAUUACAGACAUGAGCCACUGUCCCCAGCCUAGUAUAACACUUCUAAAAAAAAAAAAAAAAAAAGUCUGUAUUUCAGCUGGGCGCGGUGGCUCACCCCAGAUUGUGCCAUUUUAAAACAUUCUCCAAAGCAGCAAGAUUUCAUUUUUUAACAAGACAGUAUUACAGGUCUAAAUUCAAUUUAAUAUUCUCAAAAUAUUACUGAGAACCUAUUUUACAAAGCAAAGUACCAGGGGCUAUAAAACUUACAUACCCACAAAUAUAUACAUCUACUAUGUACCCACAAAAAUUGAAAAUAAAAAAAUUAAAAAUAAAAAGCUUCACUUUGGGAGGUUGAGGCAGGCGGAUCACUUGACUUCAAGAGUUUGAGAUCAGCCUGGCCAACAUGGUGAAACCCUGUCUCUACUAAAAAUACAAAAGUUAGUCAGGUGGUGGUGGCACGUGCCUAUAAUCCCAGCUACUGGGGAGGCUGAGGCAGGAAAAUUGCUUGAACCAGGAGGCAGAGGUUGCAGUGAGCCUAGAUUACACUAUUGCCCUCCAGUCUGGGCAACUCAAAAAAAUAAAUAAGUAAAUAACAACAAAAAGCCGACAUAGCCAAAUAAGACAAUCCUUGUUCAAAACAUGUUGUAUUAUAUGCUUAAAAUGGCAAAUACAAGGUACCUAUACUGUGAUAGUACAAACAUUCACUAAAUUGUUUAAAACAUUUGUAAAUGCCUCAGAUAGCAUGUCUUUGUCUAUCGUUUGAGGAUAUUAAAAUUGUUUUUUGAUGUGAUGAUAUUGUGGCAUAAUAUGAAAUAUAUUUGGCCAGGUGCGGUGGCUCACUCCUGUAAUCCCAGCACUUUGGGAGGCUGAGGGGGGCGGAUCAUGAGGGCAGGAGAUCGAGACCAUCCUGGCUAACAGGGUGAAACCCUGUCUCUACUAAAAAUACAAAAAAAAAAAAAAAAAAUUAGCCAGGCAUGGUGCCCGGUGCCUAUAGUCCCAGCUACUCAGGAGGCUGAGACAGGAGAAUGGCGUGCACCCGGGAGGCGGAGCUUGCAGUGAGUCGAGAUCACACCACUGCACUCCAGUCUGGGCGACAGAGCGAGACUCUGUCUCAAAAAUAUAUAUAUAUAUUUGGUCUUUGUUUCAGGUUCCUGCCACACAGCUUCUGAAACCCUUGGAAUUUCCUGAGUGAUAGGAGCUGUCUUUUGUUAUUCAUUAGAAGCCCCUUUGGAUCCCACCUAAAUUUAUGCUAUUGAAGUGACUUAGUGUGGGAUCCCUAGGCCUCAGGAUGGGACUGCUGCUCACUAAAAAAACUGACGGGUUAGAUAAUUGGAACUUUCAUCCCCACCCACCAAUCUCUGGGGAAGCUGGAAAUUAAGAUCUAUAGAAAUUUUUUUUUUUUUUUUUUUUUUGAGACAGGCUCUUGCUUUUUUACUCAGGCUGUGAUGCAGUGGCAUGAUCAUAGCUCACUGCAGCCUCAACCUCUGGGCUCAAGUGACCCUCUCACCUCAGCCUCCCAAGUAGUUGGGACUACAGGUGUGCGCCGCCAUGCCCAGCUAAUUUUUAUAAGAUUUUUUGAACGGGAUCUCACUGUGUUAGCCCAGGUUUGUCUCAAACUCCUGGGAUCAAGUGAUCCUCCUACCUUGGUCCCCCAAAGUGCUGGGAUUAUAGGUGUGAGCCACUGCACCCAGCCUAGACACUCCUGAACCACUAGAUGUGAUUAGCUUCAGGGUAGUUGAACACAGGGGGAUGCUGGGGAGUUGGUGCACCCAGAGAGGGCACAGAAGCUCUGCACCUCUCCCACCGCAUACCUUGCCCAAUGCAUUACUUCAUCUGGCUGUUCAUCUGUAUCAUUUAUAAUAUUCUUUAUAAUAAACUGUUAAACAUAAGUAAAGUGUUUCCCUGUGAGCCGUCCUAGCUAAUUAUCAAAGCAAAAAGAGUGGUCAUGGGAACCCUGACUUAUAGCCAGUAGAUUAGAAGCACUGGUCACAACCUGUGAAUUGAGAUUAGUGUCUGAGUGAAGGCAGUCUUGUGGUAGUCUCCAGGCAGACGGUGUCAGAAUUAAAGUGAGUUACCGGAUACCCAGUUGGAGAACUGGUUGAUGUGUGGGGGAAAACUCCUACAUAUCUGGUGUCAGAAAUAAAGUACUGGUUCACACCUGUAAUCCUAGCACUUUGGGAGGCCAAGACAGGUGGAUCACUUGAGCCCAGGAAUUCAAGACUGGCCUGGACAACAUGGUGAAUUUUUUUUUUUUUUUUUGAGACAAGAGUCUCACUCUGUCGCCCAGGCUAGAGUGCAGUGGCAAGAUCUCGGCUCACUGCAAGCUCUGCCUCUGGGGUUCACGCCAUUCUCCCGCCUCAGCCUCCCAAGUAGCUGGAACUAUAGGCACCCGCCACCACACCCAGCUAAUUUUUUGUAUUUUUAGUAGAGACGGGGUUUCACCAUGUUAGCCAGGAUGGUCUCAAUCUCCUGACCUCGUGAUCCGCCCCUCCCAAAGUGCUGGGAUUACAGGCAUGAGCCACCUCACCCAGCCAACAUGGUGAAAUCUAUCUCAACUAAAAAUACAAAAAAUUAGUGGGGUGUGGUAGCACCAACCUAUAGUCCCAACUAUUUGGGAGGCUGAGGUGGGAGGAUUACCUGAGCCCGGGAAGUGGAGUCUGUAGUGAGGCAAGGUCAUGCCACUGCGCACCUGUCUAAGCAACAGCAGUGAGACCCUGUCUCAAAUUUAAAAAAAAAAAAAAAAAAAAAAGGAGGGGAAAGUACUGAGAGGAGUGUGAGAGGAUAGGAAACAACUUGGUUUUUCCUAUCUCUUACACAUAUCUUGGCUAAGCUUUUUUUAAAACAAUCCUUAUCGUUUUAAGGUAUAUACAAAAAUAUUUAUGAGUAAAAUGAUGUCCAAGAUUUGCUUCGAAAUCAUCUGAAAGGGGAAACAGAAGUAACGCUAGCCAUGAACUGUUACAGUAGUUAAAUCUGAUUGAUAGGUACAUGGUAGUUCGUGACUAUACUUCCGUGUUUGAAAUUUCACAUAAUAAUGAAGGGUUUUGCUGGGUGCAGUGGCUCACACCUGUAAUCCCAGCAUUUUGGGAGGCCAAGGUGAGUGGAUCACGAGGUCAGGAGAUCGAGACCAUCCUGGCUAACAUGGUGAAACACCAUCUCUACUAAAAAUACAAAAACAAAAUUAGCCAGGCGUGUUGGCAGGCACCUGUAGUCCCAGCUACUCCAGAGGCUGAGGCGGGAGAAUGGCGUGAACCCGGGAGGCGGAGCUUGCAGUGAGCCAAGAUCACACCACUGCACUCCAGCCAGGGCGACAGAGUGAGACGCCAUCUCAAAAAAAUAACAAUAAUAACAAUAAUAAUAAUGAUGGGUUUUGGCCUGGCAUGGUUGUUCACACCUGUAAUCCCAGCACUUUGGGAGGCCGAGGCAGGCGGAUCACCUGAGGUCACACGUUCGAGACCAGCCUGGCCAACAUGGCGAAACCCUGUCUCCACUAAAAAUACAAAAAAUUUAGCCAGGCAUGGUGGUGGUCACCUGUAAUCCCAGCUACUCAGGAGGCUGAGGCAAGAGAAUCACUUGAACCCAAGAGGUGGAGGUCACAGUGAGCUGAGAUCGCACCAUUGCACUCCAGCCUGGGCGACAGAGCAGGCCUCCGUCUCAAAUAAAACAAAUAAUGAAGGGUUUUUUCAAAAAAUAGUACAUGUAGAUGGCUUUCUUUUCUCCACAAAAAAGUUUUCUUCCAAAGACUGAAAAUAUUUUUUGUCAGGCACACUGCCAAAUACUGGAUAUUGCUGCUGUACAACAUUUUAUUUUUUAUUUUAGUUAUUUUGUUUUAUACUUUAUAUUUUAUUUUAUCUUAUUUUAUUUUAAGAUGGAGUUUUGCUCUUGUCGCCCAUUUCAUUUUAUUUUAUUUUAUUUAUUUUGAGAUGGAGUUUUGCUCUUGUCACCCAGGCUGGAGUGUAAUGGUGCGAUCUCAGCUCACCACAACCUCUGCCUCCCAGGUUCAAGCGAUUCUCCUGCCUCAGCCUCCCUAGUAGCUGGGAUUACAGGUGCCCACCAUCACACCCGGAUAGUUUUUCUAUUUUCAGUCAAGACGGGGUUUCACCAUGUUGGCCAGGCUGGUCUCGAACUCCUGACCUUAGGUGAUUCACCCACCUCAGCCUCCCAAAAUGCUGGGAUUACAGGCAUGAGCCACUACAACUGGCCCAUUGUUGGUUUUAAAAUGAUAAAUUGGGCUGGGUGCGGUGGCUCACACCUGUAAUCCCAGCACUUUAGGAGGCAGGCAGAUCACAAGAUCAAGAGAUCAAGACCAUCUUGGCCAACAUGGUGAAACCCCAUCUCUACUAACAAUACAAAAAUUAGCUGGGCGUGGUGGCGUACACCUGUCGUCCCAGCUACUUGGAGGGCUGAGGCAGGAAAAUUGCUUGAACCGGGGAGGUAGAAGUUGCAGUGAGCUAAGAUCGCACCCCUGCACUCCAGCCCAGCAAUAAAGCGAGACUCCAUCUCAAAAAAAAAAAAAACCAAAAACCAAAAAGCCGGACACGGUGGUUCACGUCUGUAAUCCCAGCACUUUGGGAGGCCAAGGUAGGCGGAUCACAAGGUCAGGAGUUCAAAACCAGCCUGGCCAACACAGUGAAACCCCAUCUCUACUAAAAAUACAAAAAAUUAGCCGGGCGUGGUGGCAUGUGCCUGUAGUCCCAGCUAUUCGGGAGGCAGAGGCAGGAGAAUCGCUUGAACUGGGGAGGUGGAGGCUGCAGUGAGCCGAGAUCAUGCCAUUGCACUCCAGCCUGGGCAACAGGGCGAGACUCCAUCUCAAAAAAAAAAAAAACCCAACAGUGACAAGUAGCAUAACAACAUUCUUUUUUUUCUUUGUUCUCUGAGAUGGAAUUUCACCCUUGUCCCCCAGGCUGGAGUGCAAUGGGGGGAUAUCAGCUCACUGCAACCUCCGCCUCCCAACUUCAACUGAAGCUACUGCCUCAGCCGCACGACUAGCUGGGAUUACAGGCCCCUGCACCAUGCCCAGCUAAUUAUUGUAUUUUUAGUUGAGAUGGGGUUUCACCAUGUUGGUCAGGCUGGUCUCAAACUUCUGACCUCAGGUGAUCUGCCUGCCUUGGCCUCCCUAAGUGCUGGGAUUACAGGCGUGAGCCACGGCGCCCAGCCAACAUUCUUUUCUCUUUUUUAAUAUACUUGCAUGAGGUAUAAAUAGUACUUAAACCAAUAAAACGACAAAUAUCUGAACUUCUUACCCAGUGUUUUGUGACUUCUUUCCACAGCUGUUCUUUGAGUUUGUUCAAACAUUGCUUCCAAGUCAAAUGUGUGAGCUUUUUUACCUAAAACAUGAACAAAUGGGAGACUGUGAUUGUCUUGCAGUAAGUUGGCCAAACUUUAGGUGAUCAAUACUGAUCAAUAAACACUUACUUUGUCUAGUUUAUAGCAUGGCUCCAAUAUAACCAUAAAAUAUCACAGAAGGAGUUUGAGUCACAGAAAACUUC
rnacentral:lncRNA from 1 species